rnacentral:rRNA from 1 species
CCUACGGGAGGCAGCAGUGAGGAAUAUUGGUCAAUGGUCGGGAGACUGAACCAGCCAAGCCGCGUGAGGGAUGAAGGUACAGAGUAUUGUAAACCUCUUUUGUCAGGGAACAAAGGCGGGGACGUGUCCCCGGAUGAGUGUACCUGAAGAAAAAGCAUCGGCUAACUCCGUGCCAGCAGCCGCGGUAAUACGGAGGAUGCGAGCGUUAUCCGGAUUUAUUGGGUUUAAAGGGUGCGCAGGCGGUCUGUUAAGUCAGCGGUCAAAGCCCGGGGCUCAACCCCGGCCCGCCGUUGAAACUGGCAGUCUCGAGUUGGAGAGAAGUAUGCGGAAUGCGCGGUGUAGCGGUGAAAUGCAUAGAUAUCGCGCAGAACUCCGAUUGCGAAGGCAGCAUGCCGGCUCCACACUGACGCUGAGGCACGAAAGCGUGGGUAUCGAACAGGAUUAGAUACCCGAAUAGUC